rnacentral:rRNA from 1 species
UACGUAGGGGGCAAGCGUUGUCCGGAUUUAUUGGGCGUAAAGAGCGUGUAGGCGGCCAUACAGGUCCGUUGUGAAAACUCAGGGCUCAACCCGGAGACGCCAUCUGAUACUGCGGUGACUGGAGUCUGGUAGGGGAACACGGAAUUCCUGGUGUAGCGGUGAAAUGCGCAGAUAUCAGGAGGAACACCGAUGGCGAAGGCGGCAUCCUGGACCGGCAUUGACGCUGAGGCGCGAAAGCCAGGGGAGCAAACGGG